AAGUUGUGGGUUUUCUAUACUAGAUAAUGAAAAAUGAUGAACUAAAUAUGCAGUAUUUCUACAUUCUUUGGCAUGCACAUGAAAUAAGGUCAUACUUUUUUUCAACAAAUACAACAGCUGCAAAA
rnacentral:lncRNA from 1 species